UACAGAGGUGGCAAGCGUUGUUCGGAAUUACUGGGCGUAAAGGGCGAGUAGGUGGCUAUCUAAGUCAGACGUGAAAUCCCCCGGCUUAACCUGGGAACUGCGUCUGAUACUGGACGGCUUGAGUAUGGGAGAGGAACGUAGAAUUCCAGGUGUAGCGGUGAAAUGCGUAGAUAUCUGGAGGAAUACCGGUGGCGAAGGCGGCAUCCUGGACCGAGAUUGACGCUGAGGAGCGAAAGCUAGGGGAGCAAACGGG
rnacentral:rRNA from 1 species